GUAAUUCCGGUGAAGAUGCCGGAUACCUGCGACAGGACGGAAAGACCCCAUGGAGCUUUACUGUAGCUUGACAUUGGGGCUUGGUACUACAUGUACAGGAUAGGUGGGAGGCUUUGAAACCAGGACGCCAGUUUUGGCGGAGCCAUCCUUGGGAUACCACCCUUGUAGUACUGGGACUCUAACCAUAGGCCAUGAAUCUGGUCUUG
rnacentral:rRNA from 1 species